UACGAAGGGGGCUAGCGUUGCUCGGAAUCACUGGGCGUAAAGGGCGCGUAGGCGGCCUUCUAAGUCAGACGUGAAAUCCCCCGGCUUAACCUGGGAACUGCGUCUGAUACUGGGAGGCUUGAGUAUGGGAGAGGGAUGUAGAAUUCCAGGUGUAGCGGUGAAAUGCGUAGAUAUCUGGAGGAAUACCGGUGGCGAAGGCGGCAUCCUGGACCAUAACUGACGCUGAGGCGCGAAAGCUAGGGGAGCAAACGGG
rnacentral:rRNA from 1 species